UUAACAGACAGGGUCAAAAAAGUGAGUCUUUCAACUGCCUGCCUGUGACUAAUCCUUUAAGAUCUUGCAAGAUGUGGCAGCCACUUGGUGUUGUGACGCACCACCUACAGCAGCCAUGUUAUGACUGGCACCCACGGCCCUUUCUUAGAAUUCCAAAGGUGUGCCCCCUGGCUCCAAGGGUUUAGCAACCCCUGCCUUCAAGUGUUUUAGUUGGCCACUUGAGACCACAAUACAAGGGAAGAGAAGGGAAGCAGCAACUAAAGUUCCAAGCAUGAACAAAGUGCCGGAAGAGGCGACAGGAUAGAAGAGCAGACCCAAAAGGCAAGGCCGCAGUACUGAUGAGCAAGUGACCGUGUUUUUGUACAGAGACACACUGGAGGUCCAGGCCAAUUGUGUCCGUGUGAAAGCAUUUGUGGAAAGCAAAACUCACAGACAAACGAUGAGGCCAAUUUGUCAGAAAAAUAAUGUGAGUGGUUGGCGAAAGGAAAGAAAGCCGAAAACUACAGGUGCCUACUAAUGAGGGACUCAGACAACAAACAACACAUAGGAAAUGCUUGUCACCAAUAAAGCACCGGUUUGACACAGUCGCUGGGUAGGGCUUCUAUUAAGGUGUGCAUAAACCCUUUGGAGAUUGAAGGUUCUGGGUAAAUCAGAGAUUAUAAUUAUAUUGCUGCAAGUCCACACAUUGUACUAUAUUUGUGUGAUAUGAGCAGAUAAUUAUGCACAGAAGUACAUGGUGAACUC